GGAUGCUGCUGCAGGGGUUUGAGGAGGUGCCGACCCGAAUCAUUACUGAGGUGAAGGAGCCCCUCAGAGCUUGCUGUGCACAGGUGACCCCAGCAGCCUUUGCAUUCAAUGGUUGGAAGAGGCUGUUGAGCUCUCCUGCGCUGCAGUGGGCCGCAUGGCGGUGAUCUCCCCUUGAGCAGGGACGCCUCUCCAGGUCACUCCUCCAGGUCCAGAGAUCUCUCAUCUGGCAUCUGAUACCUACACUGAGAAAUUCUGCUGCAAGCCAAAUAUCCUUCAGUUGAAAAUGCAAAGGGACAACUGAAGGCCUAGUUAUGAAGAAGGAAAUCAGGUGCAUAGAAGAGUUGCAAACUGCAUCGUUUGGAAAGCACAUGCAAAAAAAGGUAAGGAUAAAACCUAAGCAGUGCUCAGGAGUUGUGACAAAACUGAGCUAGGAAAAUUAAUGCCUUUUGUUG